rnacentral:sRNA from 1 species
AGGGCAGGUGGAGCAGCUGGCAAGGGAGCGCGACAAGGUGAGGCAGGACCUGGAGAGGGCCGAGAAGAGGAACCUGGAGUUUGUGAAAGAGAUGGACGACUGCCACUCUGCCCUGGAGCAGCUCACGGAGAAGAAAAUCAAGAAAACAGUCGCCUACAGAAGGAGAUUGUGGAAGUGGUGGAAAAGCUUUCGGAUUCAGAGAGGCUGGCCCUGAAGCUGCAGAAGGACCUGGAGUUUGUGCUGAAGGACAAGCUGGAGCCACAGGGUGCAGAGCUCCUGGCCCAGGAGGAGCGGUUCGCAGCAGUCCUGAAGGAAUACGAGCUCAAGUGCCGGGUACGUGCCGGCUCUGUCUGCCUUUUAGUCUCAUGUCCAGGCUCUGGGUCUCCACACGCAGGUAGUCCACAGGAACGCAGGAGUGUCUGCUCCAGGGAGAGCCUCUGCUUGCGGCCAUGCUUGACCAUGGCCUUGCCACACUCCUAGACUUAGGGUUCCCUGGCUCUCGUUGCCACCUAUCCUGAAGGCCGCCUCUGUGUGUCCAGGCACCAUGCAGGGCAUUGUCGUCUUCUGUUGUUCAUGUUUAGCUUUCCUGGGCCA